rnacentral:rRNA from 1 species
GACGAACGCUGGCGGCGUGCCUAAUACAUGCAAGUAGAACGCUGAAGGAGGAGCUUGCUUCUCUGGAUGAGUUGCGAACGGGUGAGUAACGCGUAGGUAACCUGCCUGGUAGCGGGGGAUAACUAUUGGAAACGAUAGCUAAUACCGCAUAAUAGUAGAUGUUGCAUGACAUUUGCUUAAAAGGUGCAAUUGCAUCACUACCAGAUGGACCUGCGUUGUAUUAGCUAGUUGGUGGGGUAACGGCUCACCAAGGCGACGAUACAUAGCCGACCUGAGAGGGUGAUCGGCCACACUGGGACUGAGACACGGCCCAGACUCCUACGGGAGGCAGCAGUAGGGAAUCUUCGGCAAGGGACGGAAGUCUGACCGAGCAACGCCGCGUGAGUGAAGAAGGUUGUCGGAUCGGAAAGCUCGGUUGUAAGAGAAGAACGAGUGUGAGAGUGGAAAGUUCACACUGUGACGGUACCUGACCAGAAAGGGACGGCUAACUACGUG